rnacentral:rRNA from 1 species
GCUUUGUAGCAAUACGAAGUAUCCUAGUGGCGAACGGGUGAGUAACGCGUUGGUGACCUACCCCAAAGUGUGGGAUAACAGUCCGAAAGGAUUGCUAAUACCGCAUGUGGUCUCUGGGUUUAGAAACCGGUGACUAAAGGAGCAAUUCGCUUUGGGAGGGACCUGCGUCCCAUCAGCUAGUUGGUGAGGUAACGGCUCACCAAGGCGACGACGGGUAGGGGACCUGAGAGGGUGGCCCCCCACAAUGGAACUGAAUCACGGUCCAUACACCUACGGGUGGCAGCAGUAGGGAAUAUUGGUCAAUGGGCGAAAGCCUGAACCAGCAACGCCGCGUGUGCGAUGAAGGCCUUCGGGUCGUAAAGCACUUUUCUGGGAGAUGAGAAAGGACAGUAUCCCAGGAAUAAGUCUCGGCUAACCACGUGCCAGCAGCCGCGGUAAAACGUAGGAGGCGAGCGUUAUCCGGAUUCACUGGGCGUAAAGCGCGUGCAGGUGGCUUGGUAAGUUAGGCGUGAAAUCUCCCGGCUCAACUGGGAGAGGUCGUCUAAUACUACCGGGCUUGAGAGCAGAAGAGGAAGAUGGAAUUCCCGGUGUAGUGGUGAAAUGCGUAGAUAUCGGGAGGAACACCAGUGGCGAAGGCGAUCUUCUGGUCUGUUUCUGACACUCAGACGCGACAGCUAGGGUAGUAAACGGGAUUAGAGACCCCGGUAAUCCUAGCCGUAAACGAUGUGGACUUGGCGUAGGCGGGUUGAAAUCCAUCUGUGCCGAAGCAAACGC